UGUCAGUGCUACCCGUCUAAAACUGCCACCGUCAUGUUUACAAACAAACUACAGCAGGUUGUUAAUGUUAAAUAUAUUGAUAACAUUAUUUGAGUGGCGGGACUGAAGUGGAAGCUUAGCAGCUAUGCUUAGCUUAGCAUUGGAACAAUUUAUAUACAGGACAAAACCUUCAUCAGAAUAUCCUACCCGUUUAAAAUGAAAAGCUCUAGAUGUAUGAACUAGACCUUUAUUAGAAUAUCCUCCCCUGUUAAAAGUAUUUUAAAUACAGAGGCGUUUGUAAAACUAUCAGAAACUGGUUUAUUGGAAUUAAACAUGGAUCUACAAAUGCCGGAACUCGUUUGCGCAUUAAUCUGUUGCAUGUCUGAUUCACCAGACGCGGCGCAGGUCGCUGUUCCUGAAAUGAUGGGAUAUGAUUAAUAUUACAGUUUCAGUCCAACAUAGUAUCGACAUUUAGCAAAGUUUAAUAAUAAUAAGAGUAAUUAAACUAUUUUAGGGACAGAAAAGCCCACAAAACAACGUAUUUUGUCCUGAUUAACUGCCAAACAAUGACGUGUUUAAUGACGUUGCAGACGGCAAACUGAAGCCAUUUAUUAAUAUAUUUACAAGCUGCUGUCAUGUAAACUCAAAGCAUGACGUAAUACAGCAGCUUAAUAAAAGCCAGGAAUAAAAUAAAUUACAUAAAUCUGAUUGAAAUAAAACUUUCACAGGUAAGAAACCUGCUGAGUAAGCAGGAUGUGACGUACAUCGAUGUGCUCAUGCGCAGGACGGGUCGGAACGGAACCACCAGCGACACCUUGGCUCGGGUCCGUUUAUGAUCAGUAUUUUCAAGAGUUCUGUAAAUAAUUGUAAAAUUCUCCAGUUUCCGUCGUUCUACUGUGGUUCUGGUCGUUUGGACCAGCUGACUGAACAGAACCAGCUGGUUCAGAGCGUUCUUUUUGAGACUGAACGUUCAUUUCAGGUUUAAACCUGCUGCCCAGAGACGUUCCGGUGGAGCGGUACUUCAGUCCCUCCAUGCUGCAGGAUCCCUGGAGGACGCUGCAGCCCGUCACACCUGAAGCUGCUGCCAGGACCACCUGAGCAGCUGAGCCAAUCAGAGCACAGAACCGAUCAGAACCCAGAGGAGGUUGAAAUCAUUUUUAACCUUCUGGUUACUAACCUUUUCUUUUUAUACUUUAAUAAAAGCUAAAAACUGAA